rnacentral:rRNA from 1 species
AAGCGUGCUUGGGCGAGAGUAGUACUAGGAUGGGUGACCUCCUGGGAAGUCCUCGUGUUGCACCUC